GGUGUGGGGCUAUGUGGGGCUACCGGGUAAUGAGGUCUGUAUAUGAUUGGGCUAGUUGGUAAUGGUGCUAGUUUGUGUGGGGCGAGUUGGUAACUGGGCUACUGGGUAAUGGGGACAGUUGGUAAUGGUAGUACUUGGUUGGGGGGGUUGGUAACAGAGUAAUGGUACUAGUUUGUGUGGGCUCAUUGGUAACUGGGCUACUGGGUAAUGGGGUCAGUUGGUAAUAUUGGCACUUGGUUGGGUCGAGCUGGUAACAGCGUAAUUGCUAAUAGUGUUAGUUUGUGUGGGGCUCAUUGGUAACAGGGCUACUGAGUAAUUUGGUCAGUUAGUAAUGGUUAGUUAGUAACACGGCACAGUGUGUGUCUUUGUUAUCUCCACAGUAUCCCAACUACAUUUUAUGUCAAUAAUUCAAUAAUCUUCAUAAUUUCAGUAUGUUCUUUCAGUCGGUCUCAUAAGUCUUUUUAAUGAAGCAAAAAACUAAGAUGCUAGUUUGUCACAAAAAAGUAAUCAUUUAACUAAAAAAGGCAACACUGACUCUUUAUUUUUAACAAAUGUGAGUGGGCUAAAAAGAAAAACGAUUCAAUUUUCUAAGUAUCAAUGUUGUCUUUAAAGGUUAAGUGACUGAUUGACAGGAAGUAUCAUCUCUUUAAAAGGUCCGUUUUGCUAACGAUGAUUAUUGCUAGUGCUGAGGCUUGUACCCAGAACUGAGUGACUAGCAUCCAAUUUACCAAAUUAUUGUUUGGGAAUUGUUGAUGGUGAUGAUGAAAAGGCAAAAGAACAUUUGCUGUAACUUUUCAUGUACUUAUUACACGUUUUGAAUGCUAUCAUUAAUGAAAUUGUGUUGUUAAUUGCGUACUCCAGCUGCAGCUAUGGAGCUGCUAAUGUUAACUGUAGCCACAGCAAAGUGCCACAUGCAAAAACUAACAAAACCUAUAGCAUCAGUUGAAUUGAUAGCAAGUGACUGCCCAUAAUUUUAAACAUUUUGGAGGAGGCAGUAAGCAUAAAAAGUGAAAGAAAGGCAUCUUGCACGGAUUCUAGUAUCAGCUACUCUUGCUAAUGCUAACUGCAGCUGGAGCAUAGUGCUAUUCAUAAGAAGUAAUUUAAGGUGUAAGUCAUCCAAACUGAUCACAAGGGACUUUGAGUUCUUGAGAAUCAUGCAUGUUGCCAGUAGCACUCUCAUACAGGUAGUUUUAUUUAGCCUAAUUUAUCAAUUCAGUUUUCUUUUGAUUCUUGAAAAUUCCACUAUUUAUAAAAGUGUUUGGGUGUUCAUGAAGGGAAAACCCACCCCAACAAACCUUUUAACAGAGAUCUGAAAAGAAUGAUUUAAUUAUUAAAUUGUACUUUAGUCUUACGUCACUGGCAAAGGAAUCCCAGGAAUUUUUUUUGCUAUAUCAAGUUCAAUUCAAUAUCAGAUUUUGGAAAUUGUCUUUUGUAUUUAUUGUGGUGACAGGCAGCAGUCAACUCCAAGGGCACUGGUGUUCCAUCCCGUGUUCAUGCCGACACAAUAUGAGAUGCAAGUAAAACAUAAAAAAGUUUUGUUUGUCAAAAAUUUUAGUCAUCUGGUCUUCCCCUCUGAUCUGCCAGAGGAAUCAUUUUUAUAAUUAAAAGCAUAGCGUUAAGGUAUUUUUUCUCAGAAGAAUAUCUUUUUCUUAUAACAUAAUUGUUUUAAUCUCUCAGUUUUUCUUCUUUCUAUGAAUUACUAAAGCUUUCAUAAUAAAGAUAUGACUUUAGCAUUUAUUCAGUGUUUAUUUCAUUUGUUUUAAGAAAGUGAUUUUAUGUGACAAAACAUACAUACAUACAUAUA